UCUUCCUUCCUUUUUUUUUCAUUUUUCCCCUUAUUCCUUUCCCUUCCUUUCCUCUCCUCCCUCUCCCCUUUCCUCCCAGAUCCGGAUCGGCUUCUCUCAUUCUCAUUUCCAAAUUCCUUUUCAUUCCGCACGACGAUUUGGCUUCUCCCUCCGCCGGCCACCGAGACAGCUCAGCCCCGCCGCCUUCUGCCGGGAGACCGCCCAGUCGGCCUCUUUCGUGCGCGCCAUGACUCUAUGCCCUGCGAGGUGCGCGUCACCUCUCGUCCAUCCGUCUUCCCUCCGCGUGCGCUAGGGUUUCCUGCCCCCAUGCCCGCCGCCCGCCGCCGGCGAGGCAGCUCGGCCCCGCGUCGACGCUUGCCUCUGGGAGGCGGAUCGGGGCCCCGCCCUGAUGCAUGCCGGUUCUCUGGCGGCAGUGUUGAGGUUCAGCCGAGGAAGCGUCCUGAUGUUGGAAGCGGUGGUUGGAGCGCGGCGAAGGACGCGCGGCUCGACGUCCGGCGAUUAGCAGCGAGAGAGAGGUGACGUGGGGUGCGGCGUCAGGAACACAGUACGGACCGGUGGAUCCUAGCGGGCGCCGCUGGAUCGUCUCGCCGAAGCGCCGGAUCCUUGCGCACACCGCUGAGAAUCGGAGCCGCGGAUCCGUCGGAGUAGAGGACCCAGUGCUGCGCGAUGCGGCCGCCGGCAAAACGGCAUUCCGGCGAGUUACUUCGCAAGCUAAGCGCCGCUCUCUCUCAAUACACCUUCUUCUACGGACUGCAGUACACGAAUGCGAUAUUCGCUAUAACUUUCACCAACAUGGCCCCUGUGCUCACUUUCCUCAUUGCAGUCUUACUAAGGUUCUCCAGGAUCCGAACAUUUUUCACUUCCUGCUUUUGCAUAUGAAAAAGCAUUUAUUAUUCUCCAUAACUCCAUUUAAAAUCUUUGUUCAAAGUUGAUAUACUAGAGUCUAUAAAUCUGUGUGGUACAUUUAGCACCGAGUUCGCAAUGAACUGUUGGAUGUUUGGUCAAGCAGAAGGAAAUAUGAGGAUGACAGUGAUUCAUUUGAUGAGUCCUUAGGGGGGGAUGAUCAAGGGAGUUUGCCCACUGUUUUUAUAUAUCAAGUCAAUUGUGCUUCAUUUGGAGGCGGCUCGGGCUCGACCUUCAACACGCUCCAGUGCUGGAAACGGAGACGGGGCUGGGGAUGGCGUGGAUCUCACGAAAGCGGUGGCAGAUGAGGCAAGCUUCGACCACGAUGGAACGACGCGAUGCGAGCGGGGCCGCUUACUACGAGCAGUGGUUGGAGCAUGGCGGCGGAUCCUACAGUGAUGGCUGCACAACACACUUGCGAUUUUCAUGAGCCUUCCACUUUGUUGUCUCUUUUAUUCUCCCAUGCUGAAUGUGUUCCUGAUCUCUGUGUUGUUGGUAGGGGGAGAUGUGCAAGGCUGCCAUUGAUGGAUCCAAGUAAGUUUCUGGUUCGCCUGUCAAAUGAUUGAUGAAUUGCCUGCGUGGGGGCACUGACGCACCAUCUAUGUUAUCAGUGUGCGUGUGUGCUUGUUGCAGAACUGUUGAAUGUUUGACCAAGCAAAAGGAAAAGGCAUUGGUAAAAAUAGUAGUAAGGAUUAGCAGAAGAAAUACAGAUACUAGUUAUUAAAACCACAACAUGUAUUCUGAUAUAUUUCUUUUUCAAUGUUACUAUACUAUAUUUGCCAGAGUUUUUGCA